GACGAACGCUGGCGGCGUGCUUAACACAUGCAAGUCGAGCGACGAAGUUCCUUCGGGAAUGGAUUAGCGGCGGACGGGUGAGUAACACGUGGGUAACCUGCCUCAUAGAGGGGAAUAGCCUUCCGAAAGGAAGAUUAAUACCGCAUAAGAUUGUAGUACCGCAUGGUAUAGCAAUUAAAGGAGCAAUCCGCUAUGAGAUGGACCCGCGUCGCAUUAGCUAGUUGGUGAGGUAACGGCUCACCAAGGCGACGAUGCGUAGCCGACCUGAGAGGGUGAUCGGCCACAUUGGGACUGCGACACGGCCCAGACUCCUACGGGAGGCAGCAGUGGGGAAUAUUGCACAAUGGGGGAAACCCUGAUGCAGCAACGCCGCGUGAGUGAUGACGGUCUUCGGAUUGUAAAACUCUGUCUUCAGGGACGAUAAUGACGGUACCUGAGGAGGAAGCCACGGCUAACUACGUGCCAGCCGCCGCAGUAA
rnacentral:rRNA from 1 species